rnacentral:lncRNA from 1 species
GGAGCUCAGGCUCUCAGAGAGCCCUCAGCAGCUGUGCAAUGUUUGAGUUUAUAAAAUGAUCAUGCACGAGCUCAUAACAAAGAAUUUAUCAUGUAGCAACCUUGGCGUUAUUAGCACCACGCUCUGACCAGCUGAGAUAAUAGGCCUCUUACAGAAAAUUGUCUUCCUUGAACCGCUGGAAAUCAAAUCGACUUUCUAGCGAAGCUGGAUGGCAGAAACGUUGGCGACUCGCGUUUGGACGAGAGCUGGAUCGUCUCUUGGAGAUGUCUCGGUCGCUGCCGCUUAAAUGCUUAUAAGAAAGAAGCCUUGGUUUUUAGAACUUUCCUUGAGAGAACGAUGGUUUUCGGGCCAUCAUUUCUACUUUACUUCCAUUCUGCGGAAAAAUAUCUCACCACUCGUAUACAACAGUUGACGACGUGCGUACUUUUCCCUGAGACUGAGAAAAAAAUAAGAUUGGUCAGUUGCGACAAAUCACACAAGAGAAUGGUAGCUUUCACCUCUAGUAUUGGAAGCUUUUGAAGGCGGUGUGCGUGCUUCUCCCUGCCAUCUCGUCCCUAGUGUAUAAGUCAAUAAAUAAUACGUAACUAAAGACCAGAGGGAUUACAACACCUUAAUUCCUACGUUCGUGUUAAGCGACACUCCAUCCAUUGGAAACUCCAUCGUCCGUUUUGUCAUCCUGCCGGACAAAAGCGCUUUAAAAAGAGUUCGCAGAUUCGCAGAUUCACUCACCACAGACAUGGACUCCUCCCACGGAGCCAUCCUCGUCGCGUGCUUGCUACUGGCAGCGGUUGCAAACCAAAGUGAUGCUUAUUUCCACACCGGCGAUGGCGGGAUCCAAGGUGCCAGAAGCGAGCUGAGAGCUGGAAACAAGCAGGCAAGUUUAAGAUGACUCGUAAGAAAGUAGAAACUUAUUACCUUUCGUUUUUUUCUUUAAUCAUUCCAGAAAUAUGUUGUAUACACCGGAGGGAAG